rnacentral:ncRNA from 1 species
UAGUGAAAAAGGCAAAUCAUAGGAAACUAUGAGACGCAAAGCCAAGGACCUGAACCAUAAUUGUUCUAUUCAUGGAAGGUAGCCGGUUACCACG